rnacentral:rRNA from 1 species
GCUUGUAAGGGUUACCCUUAAAAGUUCGAUUCGGGCUGAUGAAUGGAGCUUGCUCCAUGAUUCAACGGCGGACGGGUGACUAUUGCCUAUGAAUCUGCGUGGUAGUGGGGGACAACGUUUCGAAAGGAACGCUAUUAUCGCUUACGUCCUACUGGAGAAAGGGUGGGAUCUUCAAACCUCCCGCUAUUAGAUGAACCUAAGUCGGAUUAGCUAGUUGGUGAGGUAAGGGCUCACCAACGCGACCAUCCGUAACUGGUUUGAGAGGAUGACCAGUCACACUGGAACUGAGACACGGUCCAGACUCCUACGGGAGGCAGCAUUGGGAAAUAUUGGACAAUGGGCGAAAGCCUGAUCCAGCCUUGCCGCGUGUGUGAAGAAGGUCUUCGGAUUGUAAAGCACUUUAAGUUGGGAGGAAGGGCACUAAGUUAAUACCUUGCUGUUUUGACUUCUACCGACAGAAUAAGCACCGGCUAACUUCGUGC